rnacentral:misc_RNA from 1 species
UUGAAUAAACUUGGUUGGGUUGCUGCUGGCUCUCCGGAGCAUGUGCACACUCACUCCAUUUUUAACCACCUGUGCACAUACUGUAGGCCUGAAUGAACUUUGUCGAGGAAACUCGGUUUGAGAACUGCUCAGCUGUUCUUGUAUUUCAGGUCUAUGUUUUUAAACAUAUACUCCAUAACAAGUUAUAGAAUGUUAAUU